rnacentral:tRNA from 1 species
UCUAAUGUGGCAGAUAAGUGCAUUGGAUUUAAGCUCCAAACAUAAAGCAAAAUCUAAAACUUUCAUUAGAA